GCUACGGGUGGCAGCAGUGAGGAAUAUUGGUCAAUGGACGCGAGCCUGAACCAGCCAAGCAGCGUGAAGGAUGACUGCCCUACGGGUUGUAAACUUCUUUUAUAAAGGAAUAAAGUGAGGCACGUGUGCCUUUUUGAAUGUACUUUAUGAAUAAGGAUCGGCUAACUCCGUGCCAGCAGCCGCGGUAAUACGGAGGAUUCAAGCGUUAUCCGGAUUUAGUGGGUUUAAAGGGAGCGUAGAUGGUUUGUUAAGUGAGUUGUGAAAGUAUGAGGCUCAACCGGAAAAUUGCAUUUGAUACUGGUCGUCUUGAGUACAGUUGCGGUAGGCGGAAUUCGUGGUGUAGCGGUGACAUGCUUAGAUAUC
rnacentral:rRNA from 1 species